rnacentral:tRNA from 1 species
GCCUGGGUGGCUCAGUAGUUGAGCAUCUAUCUGCCUUUGGCUCAGGGUGUGAUCCCAGAGUCCCGGGAUCGAGUCCCGGUUCGGGCU